rnacentral:rRNA from 1 species
GAUGAACGCUAGCGGCAGGCUUAAUACAUGCAAGUCGAGGGGCAGCAGGACUGUAGCAAUACAGUUGCUGGCGACCGGCACACGGGUGCGGAACACGUACGCAACCUACCCAAAACUGGGGGAUAGCCCGGGGAAACCCGGAUUAAUACCUCGUAACCUUUUUCAGUGGCAUCACUUGAUAAGUAUAGCUCCGGCGGUUUUGGAUGGGCGUGCGCCUGAUUAGGUAGUUGGUGCGGGUAACGGCGCACCAAGCCUGCGAUCAGUAACUGAUGUGAGGGCACGACCAGUCAGACGGGCACCGCGACACGGGCCCGACUCCUACGGGAGGCAGCAGUAAGGAAUACUGGUCAAUGGACGCAAGUCUGAACCAGCCAUGCCGCGUGAAGGAUGAAGGUCCUCUGGAUUGUAAACUUCUUUUAUGGGGGACGAAACCCGGAUAUUCUUAUCAGAUUGACGGUACCUCAGGAAUAAGCACCGGCUAACUCCGUG